rnacentral:sRNA from 1 species
CCAGCCCAUCGAGAGCCUAGUUCCGGCCAGGGUCGCCCGGCAACCACGAGCCCAGCCAAUCAGCGCCCUGGACUGCACCAGAGCCAUGGUCGGCAGAAGAGCACUGAUCGUACUGGCUCACUCAGAGAGGACGUCCUUCAACUAUGCCAUGAAGGAGGCUGCUGUAGCGGCUUUGAAGAAGAAAGGAUGGGAGGUGGUGGAGUCGGACCUGUAUGCCAUGAACUUCAAUCCCAUCAUUUCCAGAAAGGACAUCACAGGUAAACUGAAGGACCCUGAGAACUUUCAGUAUCCUGCCGAGUCUGUUCUGGCUUAUAAAGAAGGCCAUCUGAGCCCAGAUAUUGUGGCUGAACAAAAGAAGCUGGAAGCCGCAGACCUUGUGAUAUUCCAGGUAUGGGGGGACAUCAGAAGGGGUGUCAUGGACAUUUGCAUGCUUAUUGUCCUAGACAUGUACCUAAUUAGCUAUGGGAUCUUAAACAGUCACCCACUUUACUGCAUUCUCUGCAAAUAAGGGUGAUUAC